AUUGAACGCUGGCGGCAGGCCUAACACAUGCAAGUCGAGCGAGCGGCGGACGGGUGAGUAAUGUCUGGGAAACUGCCUGAUAGAGGGGGAUAACUACUGGAAACGGUAGCUAAUACCGCAUACCAUCAGAUGUACCCAGAUGGGAUUAGCUAGUAGGUGGGGUAAAGGCUCACCUAGGCGACGAUCCCUAGCUGGGCUGAGAGGAUGACCAGCCACACUGGAACUGAGACACGGCCCAGACUCCUACGGGAGGCAGCAGUGGGGAAUAUUGCACAAUGGGCGCAAGCCUGAUGCAGCCAUGCCGCGUGUAUGAAGAAGGCCUUAGGGUUGUAAAGUACUUUCAGCGGGGAGGCGUUACCCGCAGAAGAAGCACCGGCUAACUCCGUGCCAGCCGCCGCGGUAAUUC
rnacentral:rRNA from 1 species